rnacentral:rRNA from 1 species
AACAGAUAAUGCUGUGCACUCUAAACAGACUGCCGUGGAUAACACGGAGGAAGGUGGGGAUGACGUCAAAUCAUCAUGCCCCUUAUGAUCUGGGCUACACACGUGCUACAAUGGUCGGUACAACGGGCAGCGAAAGAGUAAUCUGGAGCGAAUCCUAAAAAGCCGAUCCCAGUUCGGAUUGUGGGCUGAAACUCGCCCACAUGAAGUUGGAGUUGCUAGUAAUCGCGAAUCAGAAUGUCGCGGUGAAUGCGUUCCCGGGUCUU